UUUUGAAAAUUACAGAAAAUGGUCUGAAAAAGAGUAAAUAUCCAGGGAGCUGCAGUUGUGUGGAAAAAAAUGCCUUGUUGAUGUCAGAGGAGAAUGGGCAGACUGGUUCGAGAUGAUAGAAAGGCAACAGUAA